rnacentral:tRNA from 1 species
GCACCAAUAGUCUAACGGUAUGACGUCAGCUUCCCAAGCUGAUGGUCCGGGUUCGAUUCCCGGUUGGUGCA